CUGCUUCCAGGAAAAGCCUCUAAGCAUCAGGUAACAUCAAAUCGUACCCCAAACCGACACAGGUGGUCAGGUAGAGAAUACCAAGGCGCUUGAGAGAACUCGGGUGAAGGAACUAGGCAAAAUGGUGCCGUAACUUCGGGAGAAGGCACGCUGACACGUAGGUGAAGUGAUUUACUCAUGGAGCUGAAGUCAGUCGAAGAUACCAGCUGGCUGCAACUGUUUAUUAAAAACACAGCACUGUGCAAACACGAAAGUGGACGUAUACGGUGUGACGCCUGCCCGGUGCCGGAAGGUUAAUUGAUGGGGUCAGCGCAAGCGAAGCUCCUGAUCGAAGCCCCGGUAAACGGCGGCCGUAACUAUAACGGUCCUAAGGUAGCGAAAUUCCUUGUCGGGUAAGUUCCGACCUGCACGAAUGGCGUAAUGAUGGCCAGGCUGUCUCCACCCGAGACUCAGUGAAAUUGAACUCGCUGUGAAGAUGCAGUGUACCCGCGGCAAGACGGAAAGACCCCGUGAACCUUUACUAUAGCUUGACACUGAACAUUGAGCCUUGAUGUGUAGGAUAGGUGGGAGGCUUUGAAGUGUGGACGCCAGUCUGCAUGGAGCCGACCUUGAAAUACCACCCUUUAAUGUUUGAUGUUCUAACGUGGACCCGUGAUCCGGGUUGCGGACAGUGUCUGGUGGGUAGUUUGACUGGGGCGGUCUCCUCCUAAAGAGUAACGGAGGAGCACGAAGGUUGGCUAAUCCUGGUCGGACAUCAGGAGGUUAGUGCAAUGGCAUAAGCCAGCUUGACUGCGAGCGUGACGGCGCGAGCAGGUGCGAAAGCAGGUCAUAGUGAUCCGGUGGUUCUGAAUGGAAGGGCCAUCGCUCAACGGAUAAAAGGUACUCCGGGGAUAACAGGCUGAUACCGCCCAAGAGUUCAUAUCGACGGCGGUGUUUGGCACCUCGAUGUCGGCUCAUCACAUCCUGGGGCUGAAGUAGGUCCCAAGGGUAUGGCUGUUCGCCAUUUAAAGUGGUACGCGAGCUGGGUUUAGAACGUCGUGAGACAGUUCGGUCCCUAUCUGCCGUGGGCGCUGGAGAACUGAGGGGGGCUGCUCCUAGUACGAGAGGACCGGAGUGGACGCAUCACUGGUGUUCGGGUUGUCAUGCCAAUGGCACUGCCCGGUAGCUAAAUGCGGAAGAGAUAAGUGCUGAAAGCAUCUAAGCACGAAACUUGCCCCGAGAUGAGUUCUCCCUGAGACUUUAAGUCUCCUGAAGGAACGUUGAAGACGACGACGUUGAUAGGCCGGGUGUGUAAGCGCAGCGAUGCGUUGAGCUAACCGGUACUAAUGAACCGUGAGGCUUAACCUUACA
rnacentral:rRNA from 1 species